ACACUUUUACGUUUUAACUAAACCAACGAAAAAAUGUAUAACGUCGUUGUUUGCUUAUUAACUUUGACUUUUCUCUUGCUCUCUGGAUUUUCAAACACAGCAUUCGCCCGAGUACAAUACGAAUCUCCAAAGCUAAUAGGAGAACGGGUUUGGGAUCAAAAGGUGAUAAAAGAGAUCAAGGCUGAAGUAGAUGGUAGUUGUUCCGGGCGUGCAGGAGGAAAAGGACCACCAAAUAGUCCAGGCUCACGAAAUAUACCAGGCUCACGAAAACGAUGUACCAAACCCUAGCGUAAUUUGCUGGUCACAAAAAUAGAAACUAUUUCCGUAGAUUUUGUAUCAAGAUUAAAAACAAGUCGUAGAACGUACGGUUUUUUGUUGUUGUUGUUAUUAAUCUACUCCAAACAUAAGUGGUAGACAUAUCGAUGGUCCUAGGUUUGGAAUCUUACAAGACUAAUUAGGGAACCGCGCGUGAUUAACAUGUUUUGCUAAUGCUUUUAAUUUGAUGGACAAAUAUGCAUGCACCAGUAGUAUUUUGUUAUCGAUCGGACAAGGCACA